CUUUGUUUUUUGGGAGCUUGGUUUACUUGACAGAAGGGUGCAGUAGAAAUACCUGGUCUAUAAUGAGGACUGCUAUUGGGAAAUAUCUUCCCACUCCCAGGAGCCAGGACUUCCUCUUUCCCUUUAAAAUAGGCAUGGGUGCGGGGACAGGACAAGGGAGUUCAUGUGCGAAUCAGGACAAGAUAGAUUAAAAGCUAAGAAAAUUGCCAAGUGGCAACAAUAACAAUAACAAUGUACCUAAUAUAUUUUUUACCAUAUAGAAAAACUGUUUUCGAUAGACCUUUGGCUAAAUUAAAAAUAUGCUAAGCGAGACGAGUCCAAAAAAAAAAGCUCUUGUGGAUUAAGGUUUCACUUGCCCGCCUUGCCCAGUUUGCUGUCCAUUUUUUAAAGUUUGUUUAGUCAUUUCUGGAGUUUGAAAUGAUGAAAAAUCUUUUAUAUGGCCUUCCUUUAGAAAAUUGAAUAUAAUAAAUACUACUGUAAUUUCAGGUACAUGUGAUUUUAGUUUAGAUAUCAAUUAGCAUGCCAACAGAGACCGAGCAGCGCCUGCAACCACAUACUUGAGCUAUUGUAAUACUUAUGCUUCAUAAGAACAAAAAUCAUAAUUACAGUUAAAAAAUUCCUAUAGGAUUGGUCUGUCUGUUAUUAUCAUAAUUAAGAGCAGUCAGAUUGUAUUGAAGAAUUGCUGCUCUUAUAGUUGCUGACUUUCCUUUAAUGGACUCCCAUGUCAUGAAAGGAACCCAAAAUUAAUUUAUUUUUUCCUGAAAAAUAACUUUAAUUUCCUUCUGAAAAAAGAAUUAUGACCAGAAAGCAAUGGCUUAGAAGUUUCAAAAUUGAAUAAGAUCAUUUUUAAGGGUGUGGUCUGACAGUUAAUAAAGUGAAUAAAACUUAUGGAAGAAUAGCAUUUGAAUCCCAGAAAAAACAUUGGUGAUUUUUUCUAAAUGUCAGAGCCUCGUGGAUAAUAUUAUUCAAUAAUUAUAUAGAUAAAAAUAGCAUAUAGUUAAAAAAAGUUGAGCAAGCGGCACAUGUCCAGAAUCUAAUUGUGAUUUUUUAGACUCAAAUUACCUAAAUAAGUGUAAAAAAAAGUUACCUUUUUAUAUAUAACGCCAAAAUACGUCACGGUAUAUCUUAACAAUAACUUUUGCCGUUAAGGUAUAGCGUGGCGUAUUUUGGCGCUAUAUAUGCUGACUAUUUGACUGACAGGUAUAGCAUGUUGUAUUUUUAUGUUAUAUAUGUUAUACAUAUAGCGUAAAAAUACAACACGCUAUACCCCAAUUAAAUAAUCCCCUUUGUCUUCUUCCCCGACUAGAACGAGCCCUUCCUAUUUUUUUACUUCAACUAAUUUCUCGUCCACCAACCCCAUUAUCGUCUUUGAAAGAAAAAAAAUUAUGGGCCCCACCCGUCACACAAAACGUUAAGAACGUAGGUCUCACAUCGUAGUAAAGCAUCGUAUUAUUGUGGUUUCACUUUUUCGGACUCAAAUUUUCACACAAAAUAGUACAUCGAGGUAUUUCGAUUUAUUUUAUGUCGAAACUUGUAUAAUAAUGCAUAAUAGUUGAUUGAAUGUGUUUCCGUGUCGUUUUGUGUUUUAUUUGCGAAACUAAUUGUUAUAUUUAUCCGGACUUAGAUAUUAAUGUUCUAAAAAUAAUGUAAAAUUGAGAAAUAAAUUUUUUUAAUAUCAGGAUUUAGAUAUUAGUAUUUCCGCAUCGUUUUGUGUUUUGUUUGCGAAACUAUUGUGUUAUAUGUAUUUUGUGAAUGUUAUUGAUUAAAAUGCAUUUGUUGUUUAUAUUUUAUUUAGAUUAUUUAUCAGCAUAGUAAAAUAUAGAACCUUUUAACAUAAUAAACUGUAGAGUAUUUUAGCAUAGAAUCCCUGUAGUUUAAGUAUUUCUUAUACUGGUAAAUGAAAAUAUAUACUUUGUACAAUUAAAUAAUUAAAAAUUAAGAAUGCAAAUUAAAAAACAAACACACACACAAUUAUUCAUGAUAGUUUGGUACUACUAGACCUAAAAUAUUGAGCCUGGAACCCAAUAGGUAUAUACAUAUACUUUGUACAUUAAAAAUUUAAAUUAUAAAUAAACACACACAAAAAUAUCAAAUAUUAAAUUUGACACACAUAAAUAUUCAUGAUAGUUUGGUGCUACUUGGCCUCAAAUAUCGAGUCUAGAACCCAAUAGGUAUAUAUACUUUGUACAAUUACAUAUUAAAAAUUAAGAAUUUAAAUUAUAAAAGAAACACACACAAAAUUAUCAAAAUAUUCAAAUUGACACACAUAAUUAUUCAUGAUAGUUUGGUGCUACUGGCCCUCAAAUAUCGAGCCUAGAACCCAAUACGUAUAUAUACUUUGUACACUUAAUAAUUAAAAGUUAAGAAUUUAAAUUACAAAACAAACACACAGAAUUAUCAAAAUAUUGAAUUUGACACACAUAAAUAUUCAUGAUAGUUUGGUGCUACUGGGCCUCAACUAUCGAGCCUGAAACCCAACAGGCAUAUAUACUUUGUAGAAUUACACAUUAAACAUAUAAUUAAUAUUGUUUAAUUUAUAGUUGACGACAUGGACGCGCAGCCUAUACAUCUCAGCCCUUACUCUCGUGAGUUAUUAGUGCUACAGAGCGAUCAUAGGUCCACCCAUUGUCGCACCUCGUUUUUCCUAUCAAAGUGACAAUCGAAAACGGGAUUAUUUAUUAAAAUCAAAGUCGCCACUUGGGAUAGUUUAUGGUGUCCCAAGUUACCGGGUUAAAAUCCCGAAUCGAGGAAGAUGACUCUAAUUACGAUCUGCGGAUAUAGAAAUCAAGGUAAGAAACUAUGUUAACCCAAAAGAAGGUGUUAGGCACUCCCGAGUUCUGUGGUCUAACACAGUCGCUUUGAUCAUACUUGGCUUAAUCAAAUUGUUUAAUUACUGAUCUUAGAACCUAUGUGAAUUUACCCUUUAAUACUUUUUAAAUUAAGAAAAUUAUCUUGAAACGGGUCACGCGUACGUGCACCCACUUAUUUGGCACGACAAAAAUCAUGUCACGCGAACGUGUUCACAAUUAAUAGCGUUUUAUUAUUAUUAAGAAACGUUUGACCACAGUUGCGCAAAUGCAUACUCCGAGUUUGUUUUUAAAAUAGUAAUCAUGUCAUGCGACCGUGUCCGCGACCACAAUAAUAUAUUAAACGUACCUAAAGCAAACUACGAGCAUUUAUUAUUUGUAAUAUCUAAAUUAAGAAAUUAAUACGAGGGCCAUGUACGAUUAACUUUUGGAUGGCGCACCUCGAACUAUAAAAUCCUAAAUCAAUUAGCCACCUAUUAAACCAAUUAUUAUUAAGCAAAAUUUGAUUGAGGUUAUGCGAACGUAUACUCCGAAUUGAUUUUUAAAAUUGUAAUUGUGUCAUGCGAACGCGUACACAAUCACAAUUUUAUUUUAGAAGGCCCUAAAGGCUUUUCUACGAAUGUUCAUCUUUAAUGUCUAAUUAGUAGUUGUGAGGGUCAUAGGUUAAUUUUGACGGCACACCUCAGUCUAAUGACAAGAAUUACUUUAACCAAGGUGAUUUAAGGCCAUAUUUACGCAAUUACUAAAAAGAAAGGGGUUGCGCUGGACUUUCAAGUAUUUGGGCCACGCCUGUUAUAGACAAAGUUAGCAACAACAGUUAAAUGUGGAUCUGGGUUCGAAAGUGGGCUCGAAAGCAAUCCCUAAAACGAUAAGUCAUACAACUCCCAUUUCCAAGUGGCCCCAACGUCCAAGCCCAAAGUAAACCCAAAUCAGGCAAAAGGAUGAAUGCUAAAGGAUAUGGGACUCAAGAUCGAGUCCCUACAGAAACAAGGAAACAUUUGAAGCCAAAGGAAUCCAGCUGAACCCCUUGACUAUGAACUGGCUCGAGUGUUCAAAUACCAUUAAACUAAAUCAAUUUCAACAGAGUAAGCAAGAAAUGUGCAUUAUCUAAUUUAGACGCAAACAUGUAGAAAAUUAAAACACUACAUAAUUAAUGAACCAUAUACCCCUUUGCUUGAACAUUGAAAUUACUGCCAACUGCUAUUGAGUUCAUACAUAGUAAUUUUAACAGUGAAAACUCUAGACAUUAAGCAUACAGUGACCCAAUAGCCCUUGAGUUCAUUCAAUUUUUCUUAAAACAAAACUUAAAUUAUAAACAUCAAAAUCGUUAGUAGAGGUUAACUUGGAACUUAACAUCACUGAGAUUGAACUAAUUCAAUCAAAAUCUAAAAGUAGUGUUACUUAUCCAAAUCGAAUCUACACUAUGAUAGUACAAAUAUCCAAGGACUCAGCAGAAAUAGUUUAAACUAGGCUGAAACCAAAAUAACACAUGAAAGUCCAAUAUAACCCCAAUACAAAUUGUAAUGUCUAUGGCAUGAAUAAAUACAAUGAAUCAAGUAAUAGAACAUAAUUUAAUAUAGAACAAGUAUAAUUUUUCAAUAACACAACUUGAUAUUCAGCUAACUAAAGUUUACAUCUCCCAUCAUGCUUCAGAUUCAAGCUUCACACAUCAAUAAAGUCCAAAGAUGUAUUUGGAUAUCAAAGUAAACCAAAAGAAAAUGAAGAUUUCAGCAGUAGCAGCUGAUCGAAUGAAUCAGCAGGCCAAACACAGCAAGGUUCAAGCUCCCUUAGACCAUUUGUGACCCAGACAACAGAAAUUCUUUAAAAUUUUGGAAAUUCUGACUAACUAUGAAGAUCAAGAGCAAGACCAAAGCAAAUUUCAACCAAAAAAAUACAGAAAAUGUUCAGUAUUUUUAGAGUAUCAAAACUUGCCUGAAAAAUGAAUGAAAGAGGUCCUUAAAUAAGUAGCCUAAGGCAGACCUAGUACAACUAACCAAUUCCCUUUCUACCCUUUCUUUCUUGGUUAUUUUACCCAUUUUAUCCCUUUAAAAAUAUUUGAAACCCUUGCCCUUAACAAACCAGCUCUCAUCUUAUACUCUAGAACCUUCUAUGCUAAUAGAAAAUGAUUCCCUCAAGCCUCAAAUCCCUAAAUUGGCCCUUGACACCCUGUAUUUACCUUCAGAGUGCCAAGUUGGGUCAUGUUAAUCCAAGACCCCAAAUGAACGGGUCUCUUAACUGGGUCAGUGAUGACCAAAGUUAAUACAAGAGACCAAACCAUCACAAAUGAUGAAACAAAGAAGCUCAGAUUCAGAAGAAAAAAAAAAGAUAAACAAUAUUUCAGAACUUUACGAUUAAACCUGACUUAACUACUUAACUAAAAUGAAAUUCACCAUUAAAGAAGACAAGACAAAAUAAUGAAGCAAAUAAAAAAGAAGACCAGGAAAAUGUUGUAAUGAACAGGGUCAUGAGAAAAAAAACGGAAAAGUACCAAUUAUGCCGAAAUGACUUGACCAUUUGAGACGACUCGAUAAGCAGUGAAGGGAGUCGAGGAUUGGUCAUAAUCCAAUGAGUUUGCCAAAAUCUAUCGUACUCGGAAUGAGCUAAAACCAACGCCAAUCGAUUGCUCAUGUUAAGAUCAAUCGACUAAUGUAAGUUAUAGGUCAAAGCAAGCCGGAACUCCCCGCGAAUUUAGAAAAAUAGAAUAACCUAGGGUUUGAACUUCCUAGAUUUGGAAUUAGGGAAAUUGUGAUGGGAUUUUUGGGAAAUAGGUGUUGGGGAUAGGAUUUAGAAGGGCCUGAGGGUGCAUGGUACGAAUUUGGGAUGGUUUGGAGCCGCCGCCGGCGGAUGGCUUGGGAAUUCCAAGGAGGCGGGUUUAGGAUUCAUAAAGAAGCUCUGAGUGAGAAGAUGAAUGAGGGGGCGAUUUGGGGAGGUAGGGUUACUUCCGACAUUUAAAUAUAAGUGAUCUCCCAGUUCUUAGCCGUUCGAUGAGUAAAAAUCAAUAGUUGGGAUAAAAA
rnacentral:lncRNA from 1 species